GAGUAUCCAUUCUAGUCACAGCUCUUUAUGAUGGUGAGGAUGGCGUCCAACGUGCGGGUUCCAUGUACCAUGUAGUCCUGGCAUAUGGUGAUUUCGGUCCCGUCUUGAGUGCUGUCAGUCUGUCGAGAGUCGAAGAAAUCUCUAAAGACCUAACCUUUU